CGUAUUGUAUGAGGGUAUUUGCAUAAUUUUCUAAUUAUAUUUAUACAUAUAUUGGAGGUCCCGCUUUUGUUGACAUGUGUACAGGUGAUGAGGAUCAUUUUGUAUCUAUAUAAUUUACACCUCCUUUGGUUGAUUUCGUUUUCCUGAAGUAUAAGAACAAUAAAACAUUAGCUAAGCAGUUGUUCUUCAAAAUCAAGAGAAAAACUAGCUCCUUUUGGGUGAAUUCAACACAGAACUUCUUUUGGGAAUGUUCGAGAGGACGGUUGAAGUUGGCCAUUGAAGAUGGAGGUUUUGAAAGCCUUAAAGGAAGAUCACACUUGCAUAUAGACAUAUAUAUAUUUUGUAUAAACCUUGGGACUUGUACAUGAUCUAUGUAUUGUAUAUUUACAUGAGAUUUUGAGGGCAUAUGUGGUCAUGUCAUCAUGGGUUGUAAUAUAAGUAUGGUUAUACGUUUUUA